rnacentral:rRNA from 1 species
GACGAACGCUGGCGGCGUGCUUAACACAUGCAAGUCGAACGGAAAGGCCUGCUUUCCCUUGUGGAUUGCGGGUACUCGAGUGGCGAACGGGUGAGUAACACGUGAGUGAUCUGCCCCCAACUUGGUUAUAAGCCUGGGAAACUGGGUCUAAUUCCCGAUAGGACUGCAGGGUGGUGCCUGUGGUGGAAAACGAUUUUCUAGUGGUUGGGGAUGAGCUCGCGGCCUAUCAGCUUGUUGGUGGGGUAAUGGCCUACCAAGGCGGCGACGGGUAGCCGGCCUGGGGGGGGGGACGGCUACAUUGGGACUGAGAUACGGCCCAGACUGCUACGGGAGGCAGCAGUGGGGACUAUUGCACGAUGGGCGGAAGCCUGAUGCAGCGACGCGGGGUGGGGGAUGACGGGCUUCGGGUUGUAAACUCCUUUCGACCGAGAGGAAGCCACCUGGUUGGAAGGGUGGUGACGGUAGUGGUAGAAGAAGCACCGGCUAACUACGUG